rnacentral:rRNA from 1 species
UGGGGAAUCUUGCGCAAUGGGCGAAAGCCUGACGCAGCGACGCCGCGUGAGUGAUGAAGGCCUUCGGGUUGUAAAGCUCUGUGGGGAGAGACGAAUAAGUGCCGCCUAAUACGUUGCAUGAUGACGGUAUCUCCUUAGCAAGCACCGGCUAACUCUGUGCCAGCAGCCGCGGUAAGACAGAGGGUGCAAACGUUGUUCGGAAUUACUGGGCGUAAAGCGUGUGUAGGCGGCUACGUAAGUCGGAUGUGAAAGCCCCGGGCUCAACCCGGGAAGUGCACUCGAUACUGCGUAGCUUGAGUACCGGAGAGGUUGGUGGAAUUCUCGGUGUAGAGGUGAAAUUCGUAGAUAUCGAGAGGAACACCGGUGGCGAAGGCGGCCAACUGGACGAGUACUGACGCUGAGACACGAAAGCGUGGGGAGCAAACAGGAUUAGAUACCCCUGUAGUCC